rnacentral:rRNA from 1 species
GAUGAACGCUAGCGGCAGGCCUAACACAUGCAAGUCGAGGGGUAACGUGAGUGCUUGCACUUGACGACGACCGGCGCACGGGUGCGUAACGCGUAUACAAUCUGCCUUAUACUGGGGGAUAGCCUUUGGAAACGAAGAUUAAUACCCCAUAGUCUAUGAACGUGGCAUCGCGAUCAUAGUAAAGGUUACGGUAUAAGAUGAGUAUGCGUCCUAUUAGUUAGUUGGUAAGGUAACGGCUUACCAAGACGACGAUAGGUAGGGGCCCUGAGAGGGGGAUCCCCCACACUGGUACUGAGACACGGACCAGACUCCUACGGGAGGCAGCAGUGAGGAAUAUUGGACAAUGGGGGCAACCCUGAUCCAGCCAUGCCGCGUGCAGGAAGACGGCCCUAUGGGUUGUAAACUGCUUUUAUACAGGAAGAAACAGCUCUACGUGUAGAGCCUUGACGGUACUGUAAGAAUAAGGACCGGCUAACUCCG